rnacentral:sRNA from 1 species
UUACAUGUUUUUUUUUCUUUUAGUUCUUUGAAGGAAAUACAUUCGAAAAUCUUAAAAUGGUAGAAAAUUUGACGGAUCCAAACACGCAGUUUUGUUCCUUCAGUUGCUCGAGUUAUAGACAGAAUGUCCCAAAUCGCAAGAGAUCUAUAGGUGCGCACCUUCCAUUGAUGGAAUGGAUCACUUUGUACAAGUCUAUUCAUGCAAUGACGAAAAGGGACGUAACCACACCCCUGGGGCCUAACAUUUACCAUGGAUGCUGCAUUUCGCGCCAUUAUUUUAUAAGUCCUGACUUUGGACUCACUGUAACC